rfam:Schistosoma mansoni, Puerto Rico, WGS project CABG01000000 data, contig: 0034
GCGCUGCUGAAGAGUCCCACAACAGGACAAAACGGGCGUCCAGUGC